rnacentral:rRNA from 1 species
UACGAAGGGGGCUAGCGUUGCUCGGAAUGACUGGGCGUAAAGGGAGCGUAGGUGGGUUGGUAAGUCAGUGGUGAAAUCCCCGAGCUUAACUUGGGAACUGCCAUUGAUACUAUCAGUCUUGAAUACUGUGGAGGUUAGCGGAAUAUGUCAUGUAGCGGUGAAAUGCUUAGAUAUGACAUAGAACACCAAUUGCGAAGGCAGCUGGCUACACAAAUAAUUGACACUGAGGCUCGAAAGCGUGGGGAUCAAACAGG